rnacentral:lncRNA from 1 species
GGGAGCUUCUCUGACGCAGGAGCCUUGGCGAUUUGCGCCUCGAUCAGGGAGACGAUGUCCUUGGCGAAGGGCACGUUCUCCUCGGCCAGGAUGGUCAGCAUGUUGAUGUGCGGCUUGCUGUUGAACGUCAGGUCCUCCAGCGAUGACUGGUAAUCGCGGCACGCGUCCUCCCGGGCCUCGCUGCUACCAGCGCUGCUCUCCGGGGCCGACAUGUUCCUCCGACCGGGGCCCGCACCAGGACCCGACCCACCGACCGACGGCCCCCUCCCCGCGAUUCCCCUGCCGCCGCCGAGCGACGCUGCCCCCCCGCCGCUGCCGCUGGGCUCCUCUACCGCAUCCUCCGGGCUGCGGCUCCGCUGCGAGUAGCGCUCCCGUCCGUACCGCCGCUGCGCUUCCGACCGCCGCCGGCUCAGUCUCA